rnacentral:rRNA from 1 species
GUGGGGAAUAUUGGACAAUGGGCGCAAGCCUGAUCCAGCCAUGCCGCGUGAGUGAUGAAGGCCUUAGGGUUGUAAAGCUCUUUCACCGGUGAAGAUAAUGACGGUAACCGGAGAAGAAGCCCCGGCUAACUUCGUGCCAGCAGCCGCGGUAAUACGAAGGGGGCUAGCGUUGUUCGGAAUUACUGGGCGUAAAGCGCACGUAGGCUGAUAUUUAAGUCAGGGGUGAAAUCCCGGGGCUCAACCCCGGAACUGCCUUUGAUACUGGGUAUCUUGAGUAUGGAAGAGGUCAGUGGAAUUGCGAGUGUAGAGGUGAAAUUCGUAGAUAUUCGCAGGAACACCAGUGGCGAAGGCGGCUGACUGGUCCAUUACUGACGCUGAGGUGCGAAAGCAUGGGAAGCAAACAGGAUUAGAUACCCCUGUAGUCC